UAAAAACAAUAAGUUUAUACAAAUCCAAAAAUAGAAAUUAAAAAUACAAAACUCUUGCCCCUUUGUUAAGGCUACAUCCAGGCUACAUCCGGCCCUAGUGCAGAGCUAGGCCUUCCAUGGAGAAUUGAAAAGUGGCAGCGCCAAUGCCAAGAGCUUCCAUCUCAAUCGGCCCUUCUUUGCUUCCUCCCCUCUCUGGUUCUCUCCUCCCUUCUGUCUCCCGUGGAACUCCUCCGAAUAAAAGAAUGAUGGAUGGGAUUGGGUGAGAAAGAAUGGGUGAGAAGAAUGCCUCCUUCCCUUCACAUCUUGACUCCUUUUAUAGGCUGCCCCCCCUUCCCCUGUUCCGAAGCAAGGGAGAUAAGAACACGGAAUGCUUGUGAGAGCUGAUCGUGGGAUAUCUUGGAGAUUUGCUGAGAUUGGAGUUCAUCCGGGAGAAGAUCUCUAUUCCGUUGAUGAGAGCUGAUGCCGUUUGGGAGUGAUCCGGAAGACUUUUGAGUUAGAUCCAUGGGUGAGCAGCUGGGAGGAUGGAAUCAAAUCUAUGCGGAUGGUGGAUGGAUGCUGGGACACGAUCCACGGAAUGAACUCUGUUCUGUUUCCGAAACAGGGGAAGAAAUGGAUUGUGUAAGGCUUGGGAGGAUGACGUGGAAGGAACGUGGAGAGCAUGGGAUGCUGAUCCUUGGAGCUCGGAUGGCAGGGAUUUGCUGGACAACUGCGAAUGGGAGGGAGUUUGGGACUUAUUUGAAGCAGGGGAGAAGCUUGAAUGCGGUGGACGGCUGGGAUGCUGGGGAGCUGAUCCGAAAGAUGAAGUCCUGCUGGAUUUGGGGCUUAUAACCAUGGGAUAUAAGCUAUCUUGAUUCGAAAUAGGAAAUCUAGGGGAUGAUCCACGGCGUUAGGAAGCUCGGACAUUAGCUGAAAAUCAGAAAAUGAAGGUGUGAGGUUAAUCCAAAUGCUGGGACUUGGCUGGCUUGAUCUGUGAUGAAGAUAAGAUGAGCUGGGAGCAGGGGAUGCAGAUGGGAGCUUCUAAUUCGUGAGCUACUCUGUGGGAUAUUGAAAGGAUGCGGAGAAGACUUUAUGAAGUUGAGAGGAUCUCGGCUGAUGGCUGGGAGAUGAAGCUCGAUCGCAGAUGAUUCAGGAGGAUGAGGAUGAAGACGGAGACAUGGGAGUUAGGGAGGGAUUUGCGGAUGGAGUGGACCAUGGUCGCGGGAGAAGAUGACGCUGGGACUUUGCUCUGUUCUUGGGUCCGAAUGGUAUGCACAAUGGGAUGAAAGGGAGAUGAGUUGGGAUUCUUAUCCGUGGGAGAUGAAGAUGUUGAAUUUUUAAAUGAAG
rnacentral:lncRNA from 1 species